ACAAUUUAAAUUCCAAAAUCUCCGCAACAACCUAACAACAACAACAACACCACAACAACAACAACAACAACACAAUAACAACAAUACAACUAGCAAGGGGAGGACGGAAGGAACGCUCACGUUCAAGCAGAGCCUCCGGCAAUGACUCACGAGACCGGGGAAUCGGAAAAGCUCGAGAAGCUAGGAGAGUAUUGAGCUGAGCUUGCAUGCCAUGGUACAGAGCUUGCAUGCCAAUGUACUGAGCAUCUCUAAGCUUUUGUCUUUCCUUGGCCGCUUCUAGCUCGAACGUGAGCUUUGUCAAAGUUUCACGCAUAUCGGAGAGGCUCUGCCCAUCAAGUUGCUCGCCUUGCGAGUCUCCCGCAUACCAAAAUCUCCCUAUUCCUUGCAUUCCACUGGAAUUCCAUCUUCUCCACUCCACUGAUUUUCACCUUCCAUACCCAUUUGUGCCAUUUUUUCUUCUUCGGAUCAUUCAUUUCUCUCUUUCUCGGCAUGUUCCUUUCUUCUUUUUUUCCUUAUUUUUCUCUAUUCCGGCUACCUCACAGACAUGAUAUUUGCUUUAUGUUCUCCCUUUCUUCAUUUGUGAUUACAGAUUACGAGAUGCAAGAUUUGCUAACUUUUAUUCUCUAUGCAUGAAGAUUAUACUUCUGCGGAUUAAUUUAUGUGGGUAAGGAGCCUUAUGUACAAGGAGAAAAUGUUUAAUUUCCAAAGCCAGAACAAUUAGCAGGCCAAAUCAGGAGAAAGCGUUUUCAAAAUUUUCAAUUUUCAAGACUUGAGGAAUUCAGGCAGACAAGGGCGAUCCGUUGCAUGGACUCAGAACACUAAGAACAUCAUCGUGCUGACAGAUAUAUGCGACGUCGUACGAGAUAUGUACAAAUGUCCGCAGAGAGAAACCAAUUAUUUUAUCGCAACUGCAAGCUAAAAGAGCUGAAUCAAAAAAGAGGCUACAAUUGCAUCAUUCAAAUCAUGCACUAUCUUCUUCAAAAGUUGAUAGUCAAGCUGGAAAACGAAGUGUGCUUGCAAUUUCUGUCCUUCAUUCGUUUCUGAGGAAGGUCAGAAAAGUAAAUAUUUUCUUCCUUCUCAUAGACAUUCCUCUAUUAAAAAUCCAUAUAUAUUCACAUAAUGUCGUAUGUGUAUAUAUUUGAUGCAUAAAUUGAUGUACUAUCAUUGAACUUAUUUUUCUUUUAUCGUUUAAGAGGUCAUGCUUCUGCAGACGGUAAUGAUAUCCUUUAAAUUGCUCUAGUGUAAAUAAUGUUUGUCAUAGUAUCUUUUAUUUCAGUCUGUUAUCUCAU